rnacentral:rRNA from 1 species
ACGAACGCUGGCGGCAUGCCUAACACAUGCAAGUCGAACGCAUGGCUUCGGCCAUGAGUGGCGCACGGGUGAGUAGCGCGUGGGAACCUGCCCUGAGGUACGGAACAACCGCGGGAAACUGCGGCUAAUACCGUAUGAGCCCUGAGGGGGAAAGAUUGAUCGCCUUAGGAGGGGCCCGCGUCCGAUUAGCUAGUUGGUGAGGUAACGGCUCACCAAGGCUUCGAUCGGUAGCUGGUCUGAGAGGAUGGCCAGCCACACUGGGACUGAGACACGGCCCAGACUCCUACGGGAGGCAGCAGUGGGGAAUAUUGGACAAUGGGGGCAACCCUGAUCCAGCAAUGCCGCGUGGGUGAUGAAGGCCUUCGGGUUGUAAAGCCCUUUCGGCGGGGACGAUGAUGACGGUACCCGCAGAAGAAGCCCCGGCUAACUUCGU